AAUAGUGAGGGCAGCCCCAGCCCCUGCGAUCGCCAAGCUGCCAGCUCUCAGUGCAGCUCUAACUAGGGGCCAGGCUGCGGCUGGAAGAUGAAACUGGGCAAAAGGAAAUGUCAUUUCGGGGCGAUUUCACCACACGGGAGCCCUUCAGUAUUGGGAAGGGGAGCUGAGGACCGCAGGCGGAAGAUCGCCUGACCCCUGCCCACCUACCCCAAAGGCCAGCUCUGCGCUGGAAGAUGCAGAAUCCUAUGGCCCAACCAGUUCUGUUUUUAUAUAUCCAUUCUGCCAAAAUAUGUCUGCUUGUCCAUUAAACACGCAGGCCAUCACCGCAGAACUUGUUUGGUUGAGCACGCUGUUUCUCUAAACGAGGAGGGAAUUGACUCACCUACCUCCCAGGCGUCCGCUUCCGAGCAAGUCCCAGUGGGCUGUGCGGAGGGGAACCCAUGCCCUCGGCGGGGCCAUCCUCUCCCUCGCAGUCAGGCCCUGGAGGGUCGGAAACCGGGGGUUUGUGCACAAACCUGGGGUUUGUGCCUCCAUGCAUUUCAGCGGGCCUUACAAAUAGUCCCGAGGGCUCUGCUGUGAAAACUUCGGGAACCGCUGUCCUCAGCCACAGCCAUUAAGUGACUUCAUCUAGCUCAGUGGCCUGACCAUGGUAAACAGGACUAAUGGGGGCGGUGUUCUGCCCGGUCACAUGCUCCCAGCGAGGGCCUUAUGGCGUAGGAGUUAGAAGACAGGUCUCAGGGGCAAACCCAAAAGAAUCCUGGCUCUUUCAUGUUCAGCCAGGAUGUUUUGGUUAAGUGACUUGUUCUUGCUGGGGCUCAGUUUCCUCAUCUGUAAAAUGGGCUAAUGAUGAGUAGUAUCAUUAUCCUUAGAGUGAAGUGAAAUCGUGUGGAAAGCACGGAGCAAAGUGCCUGGUACCUGGUAGGUGCCCAAUUGAUUAUCAGAACUGAGGUCUUCUGACCCAGACCUCCCGAUAGGCACCUCGCCAUCCCCAUUACAUCAUCCAGCUUUCUCAGAGGCCGCCUGUCAUUUACUGAGAGGAAACCAACAACUAUAAACAACUGGUAUAUGCAAAGCACACUGGGUCCUGGUGUGUGGUUUUCCUUUCCCCUUGGGGAGGCCCAAGAAUUGCAAUACACAGAAGUCGUCCAGCCGUUCAGUGCAAAGGCAGUAAGAGUCCCUGAGCCACUACACGUCUUCCACAGGCACAACUGAGGACCCACAGCACCUGUCCUCCUCUUGUUGUAUCAGGAGACUUGUCAGUGCUCCUGAGGGCUGACCACGCAGAUGGCUGAAAAUUAAAGCAAGUAACACUGCCCCAGCUUUGACGCUGCAGAGGUCACGGAAGAAAGACUUCAGUGGCAGCUCGCCCCACCCGUUCUAUUGUGGGGACCCAGGUCAAGCACGCCGAGGCUGGAGCCGAUAGGAAGAGCAGCGCUCCUGUGGGAGAACGGUUCAUGCCACGCACAAGUCAAAGCUGCCGGAAAGGAGACGUCUCGUUUCUUCCUCCCGUGCUGUGAAGGGCACCAUGUUUCCAGCUUUACUCCUCCCUCAAGGAGGAAAAGGACAGCACUUCUCUGGGUCUCAAGGCCAGGCUGCUUCCCUCUGUAGCUACCCAAGACGGGGCGAAAGACUGGUGACUGACUCCAGAUCGCAGCCAAACAUACCAACUGCUGUUGAAGGGCAGGCAAGUGAGCGAAGGCCAACUGUAGACUUGGCAUUGGACCGAGAAUUUAAAGACUACAAGGUGAUCAAAAUGAAAAGCGGAGUACGAGGGAGCAAACUCAGCUGAUCUGGAGCGUCAACCCGUGGACCAUCAGGGGCUGAGACCCAGGAAGAAAGACUGUAGGCCUCAACACAGCUUUUCCAAAUGAGCGUUGAUUAUUUAUUUGAAAAAAAGUCACAAGUUCCUGCUCUAGUGGGAGCCUCCUAGGAACGGGACUCACAGGCAAGGAGCGGGGCUGGCUCCUCGGUGCUACCGGAGAGGAGCACUGGUGCUUUAAUGGGCAGAGUCUCCGUUUUGCAAGAUAAAGACGUUCUGGAGAUGUUACACCACAAGGUGAAUAUUCUUUUUUUCUUUUUUGCCAUUUUUAAAAUAUAACAUUGCUUAGAUGGUUUGAUACAGAAUAGCUUUUCUUCUCGUUUUGAACCGGAAGUACUACACAACUGAAUACAAAGAGGAACAAAAAGUACCAAAGCCAAAUUUGUGAUUUUGUUCAUGUGGCAUAAACAUUGUGAAUGUUCUUAACGCUACUGAACUGUACACUGAAAAAUGGUUGUGACCUGGUGGGCAGGGCAGGGGGUGGAGAAUCUGGGCACGGCCACCAUUUCAGGGAAGAGAAAUACUCCUCACCCCAGCAAUCCCGUGAGGCUAGUCUUACUAUUAUUUCCAAUUUUCAGAUGAAGAAACUGAGACAAAGGUGAAGGAACCGCCAGGGUCACCGUGUCAGUAAGAUGUGCGGAGAUUUGACUAGACGCGCUGCUGGGGAGUGGUUUACGGGGUCUCGGGCAGCUUGCUCACAUCUCCUCUGUUAACCACCAGACCACAAGCUUCUGGGGAUUUGGCUCAUUCACUGCUGCUGCCCAGCGCCAGUGUUUGACACACAGUAUCUGCUGCACAAAUGAGCUAUGAACUCUGUGGCUUUUUUUUUCCAAGGAGGGGGUGGUGGCGACCUGUAACCCAACUCAGUCAAAACAGAUUAGCGCCCAAAGACUAGUCGCUCACUGUGGUUCCGGACCUGCCGCCCUUCCUGUGCAGCAGGCCCCUGUGGGCCCUACGCUGCCAAAGGCCGGCCUGCCAAUCAACCCAGUGGCCGAGGAGAACCAAGAGCCACGACAUAAGGCUCCUCCCCGCUUUUCCUGUCGAAGCUGAACACAGUACCUCCCACCCAGCUGGCAAGCCUUUCACCCCAGUUACCCUUCAUUCUUCGUUCUCCUCCUGCUUCCGCCAGCCGGUCACCAAGCCCCACUGCUGUACAAGUCGUAUGUAUGUGCGGCCAGCCCACCUCCUCGGUCCCUCAAUCUCAGCUGGCCAUAUUCGCUGCCGUUAGUAUCUCCACCAGCCUAUUCUCCGGCCGCCACUGCCACGCUCCCUCUCCCAUGACAUUCGCUGCUUUCAAAGCUGUGAUGGUCCCCCUACGAUCAGAUGUCCCAAUCUCCUCAACGGGAUUCAGUGUCCUUCCGGACCUGGCCCAGCCUCCACUCCAGCCACUUGCCUUACAGGUGCACCAUUCUAGCCAUGCCAGACUCAAGUUUCCAGUACAAAGUGCAGCUGCACCUCCACAUUUGCUUCUUGCCCAUCUACUCAGCAACCUAGCUCUCAUUUGAAGCAGACCUCAAAUGUCCUCUUUCCUACAGCUCCCUGCGACUCCCCUACUACCCCGACCCCGACCCAAGGCAGCUAUGUGCUGAUCCUUGUCUCUGAGCUCUGUGCCCAACCCUCUACUCCAGAGCUGCUCAUGCCGAAUGACUUCCUGCUGAUCUCGGUAGCCCAAGCCCCUUGGUGGACAGGAUCAUUCAUUUCUAUCCCAGCGCCUACUGAAAAGCCAGCACCGUAGAAGGCCCUCGGAAGCUGCUGAAUUAACUAUGAUCAUUAGGUUAUAUUUAGUGGGACUUCUCAGUAACAGUGGAAUCAGGAGCAAACAGCACUAAUACCACUUGCCAAGUAACCCUAAGUGCUGGGGAUGCACGCCCUCAUUUAAUUCUCAUAACUAUUAUGUCCACUUUACAAAUGAGGAAAUGGAGGCCUCGAACAGCUUAGUGGUUUGCCCUAAAUCCUUCAACUAUUAGCAGCAGUGCCGGGCUGUGAGCCCGGACACCGUCCCCCGAUAUCUGCACACACUGCUUGCUUUGCUUUACAGGCGCUGUCACAGGACACAGUUACAUUUUGGGGGAUGUGAUCAGACCUGCAAGAUAACUGAAUGUACUGAAGAAUGAGCCAGCCUGAAUUAAACUCUAAUAGCUUUUACCAAUGUCUUUCAUUGGUAAAACAUUUUCAUAGGUAAACUGUUCUACUUGAACUAAAAUGUGAUAACAAUCCUAUUCUGAGAGGACUUGAAACUCAGGGCCUAUUUUUUCUCAGUGAGGGAACAUACCUGUUAA